CCCUCUCUGUCCCACCCAUAG
rnacentral:miRNA from 1 species